rnacentral:rRNA from 1 species
AUUGAACGCUGGCGGCAGGCCUAACACAUGCAAGUCGAGCGGAUGAAGGGAGCUUGCUCCUGGAUUCAGCGGCGGACGGGUGAGUAAUGCCUAGGAAUCUGCCUGGUAGUGGGGGAUAACGUCCGGAAACGGGCGCUAAUACCGCAUACGUCCUGAGGGAGAAAGUGGGGGAUCUUCGGACCUCACGCUAUCAGAUGAGCCUAGGUCGGAUUAGCUAGUUGGUGGGGUAAAGGCCUGCCAAGGCGACGAUCCGUAACUGGUCUGAGAGGAUGAUCAGUCACACUGGAACUGAGACACGGUCCAGACUCCUACGGGAGGCAGCAGUGGGGAAUAUUGGACAAUGGGCGAAAGCCUGAUCCAGCCAUGCCGCGUGUAUGAAGAAGGUCUUCGGAUUGUAAAGCACUUUAAGUUGGGAGGAAGGGCAGUAAGUUAAUACCUUGCUGUUUUGACGUUACCAACAGAAUAAGCACCGGCUAACUUCGUG